ensembl:lncRNA
AGAAUAUCUGUCUAAGUAGUUUUUAUGGUCCAUUUUUUCCUUUUGCACAAGAUCAAAGCAUCAAGGGACAAGAAAAUAGGGUGAGAAAAGUCAAUUCAAGCUUGCAGAAAUCAUGCUCAGGCCAAAUAUUUAUCCCGUGAUUCAUCAAAAAUGUUGCAAAAUAUAGUACUGGAUCUUUAAUGAUCUAAGGUUUCACUGCCAGUUCUUGUAGGACAUCCUGUUCUGGUGCAGUUCUUAAAGAAAAAGAAGAAAAGAAGUAAAGAAAAAAGAAGAAAAUGCAUUAGGUUGAACCAUAACUUGGAGAGAUCUGAAAGCCACUAACAGAUGGGCGUUUUUCAUCAUGAAGUGGUGUUUUUUAAAGAAUGUAAAUAUUUAUGUUGCUGGUGGUAUAGGACUCGAUUUUAAAAUUGAUAGAAGAGGAAUUUUUUGUAAUCAAACAAGUUCCUGUUUCUGCUCUGAAAAUAAAGGGAAAUCUUCAAGAGUGAGGCACCUGAUUGAGGAAGAAAGUACUGUCUAAUCAAAACAAGAUCAAGAACAAAGAUCCAAGAAGUAUGAGAAAGAAAGAAGAAGGAAUUCAGUCCUCAAUAAUGAGGGAAGGCACAGUCACCGAGUGAUGGAUCUGCACCAAGACUUGCCUCGGUCUUUUCUGCAUAAGAACGUGCGGAAGAAUGAUGGUUGGUGCAAGGGGAAGCCAUGGAAAGCCAUGAGUGCCUG